GGGGGGGGGGGGGGGGGGGCGGGGGGCGGGCGAGGCGGGCGGAGGGGCCCUGCGUUUGUGGGGUGCUCGAGUGGCGAACGGGUGAGUGACACGUGAGUAACCUGCCCUUGACUUUGGGAUAACUUCAGGAAACUGGGGCUAAUACCGGAGAGGAGCUCCUGCUGCAUGGUGGGGGUUGGAAAGUUUCGGCGGUUGGGGAUGGACUCGCGGCUUAUCCGCUUGUUGGUGGGGUAGUGGCUUACCAAGGCUUUGACGGGUAGCCGGCCUGAGAGGGUGACCGGCCACAUGGGGACUGAGAUACGGCCCAGACUCCUACGGGAGGCAGCAGUGGGGAAUAUUGCACAAUGGGCGGAAUCCUGAUGCAGCAACGCCGCGUGCGGGAUGACGGCCUUCGGGUUGUAAACCGCUUUCGCCUGUGACGAAGCGUGAGUGACGGUAAUGGGUAAAGAAGCACCGGCUAACUACGUG
rnacentral:rRNA from 1 species